ACGGGUUGUAGCUGGCCUCUCGGGGCAUGUGCACACCUGGCUCAUCCACUCUUCAACCUCUGUGCACUUGUUGUAGGUCGGCAGAAGGGCGAGCCUUAAAACAGCUCGCUUGGAAGCCUUCCUAUGUUUUAUUACAAACGCUUCAGUUUAAGAAUGUAACCUGCGUAUAACGCAACUAUAUACAACUUUCAGCAACGGAUCUCUUGGCUCUCGCAUCGAUGAAGAACGCAGCGAAAUGCGAUAAGUAAUGUGAAUUGCAGAAUUCAGUGAAUCAUCGAAUCUUUGAACGCACCUUGCGCUCCCUGGUAUUCCGGGGAGCAUGCCUGUUUGAGUGUCAUGGUAUCCUCAUCCUUCAUAACUUUUUGUUAUCGAAGGCAUGGACUUGGAGGUCGUGCUGGUUCCUCGUUGAAUCGGCUCCUCUUAAAUGUAUUAGCGUGAGUGUAACGGAUCGCUUCGGUGUGAUAAUUAUCUGCGCCGUGGUCGUGAAGGAACAUAAGCUUGCGCUUCUAACCGUCCUUAAGUUGGACAACUUACUUUGACAUCUGACCUCAAAUCAGGUAGGACUACCCGCUGAACUUAAGCAUAUCAAUAAGGACUACCCGCUGAACUUAAGCAUAUCAAUAA
rnacentral:rRNA from 1 species